rnacentral:rRNA from 1 species
AGUGAACGCUGGCGGUAGGCCUAACACAUGCAAGUCGAACGGCAGCACAGUAAGAGCUUGCUCUUACGGGUGGCGAGUGGCGGACGGGUGAGGAAUACAUCGGAAUCUACUUUUUCGUGGGUGAUAACGUAGGGAAACUUACGCUAAUACCGCAUACGACCUACGGGUGAAAGCAGGGGAUCUUCUGACCUUUCGCGAUGGAAUGAGCCGAUGUCGGAUUAGCUAGUUGGCGGGGUAAAGGCACACCAAGGCGACGAUCCGUAGCUGGUCUGAGAGGAUGAUCAGCCACAUGGGAACUGAGAAACGGUCCCGACUCCUACGGGAGGAAGCAGUGGGGAAUAUUGGACAAUGGGCGAAAGCCGAAUCCAGCCAUACCGCGUGGGUGAAGAAGGACUUCGGCUUGUAAAGCCCUUUUGUUGGGAAAGAAAAGCAGCAGGUUAAUACCCCGCUGUUCUGACGGUACCCAAAGAAUAAGCACCGGCUAACUUCGUG